rnacentral:lncRNA from 1 species
CAGGAGGCCUUGCCCAGGUCUGCCUGGCGAGCAGUUUGCAUUUGUGUGAUGGGUUCUGAAUAAAGGAAAAGAUCAGUGUGAUCUCCUGGCUCCUCUCUGGCAGCCCAGUAUUUGUGAAGGGACAAAACUGGAGAGCUGCUUCAUCAGUGCCAAUCCAUACUGUGGUUGGCCUCAUGGAAAGGAUCAUAUUGAUGAAUUAGUGUAGCUACCCUCCCAGCCAUGGAAGAAUACUUCACACAAAAAAAAUCCAUAGGUGACUUACAGGUUUGGUAAGCAGCCUGUGAGAUUUGGGAGGAACAUUCUGGUAUGCCUGGAAAUCAACCUUGAUCUAAAUUACCUGCCAUUGU